rnacentral:rRNA from 1 species
UACAGAGGUCUCAAGCGUUGUUCGGAUUCAUUGGGCGUAAAGGGUGCGUAGGCGGCGCGGUAAGUCGGGUGUGAAAUCUCGGGGCUUAACUCCGAAACUGCAUUCGAUACUGCCGUGCUUGAGGACUGGAGAGGAGACUGGAAUUUACGGUGUAGCGGUGAAAUGCGUAGAUAUCGAUAAGGAAGACCAGUGGCGAAGGCGGGUCUCUGGACAGUUCCUGACGCUGAGGCACGAAGGCCAGGGGAGCAAACGGG